CAGCCGCCGCGGUAAUACAGAGGGUGCGAGCGUUAAUCGGAUUUACUGGGCGUAAAGCGUGCGUAGGCGGCUUUUUAAGUCGGAUGUGAAAUCCCUGAGCUUAACUUAGGAAUUGCAUUCGAUACUGGGAAGCUAGAGUAUGGGAGAGGAUGGUAGAAUUCCAGGUGUAGCGGUGAAAUGCGUAGAGAUCUGGAGGAAUACCGAUGGCGAAGGCAGCCAUCUGGCCUAAUACUGACGCUGAGGUACGAAAGCAUGGGGAGCAAACAGGAUUAGAUACCCCCGUAGUCCCUGUCUCUUAUAU
rnacentral:rRNA from 1 species